rnacentral:rRNA from 1 species
CGCUAUCACUCCUACGGGAGGCAGCAGUGGGGAAUAUUGCACAAUGGGGGAAACCCUGAUGCAGCCAUGCCGCGUGUGUGAAGAAGGCCUUCGGGUUGUAAAGCACUUUCAGUAGGGAGGAAGGUAGUGCAGUUAACACCUGCAUUAUUUGACGUUACCUACAGAAGAAGCACCGGCUAACUCCGUGCCAGCAGCCGCGGUAAUACGGAGGGUGCGAGCGUUAAUCGGAAUUACUGGGCGUAAAGCGCAUGCAGGCGGCCUGUUAAGUCAGAUGUGAAAGCCCGGGGCUUAACCUCGGAAUUGCAUUUGAAACUGGCAGGCUAGAGUCUUGUAGAGGGGGUAGAAUUUCAGGUGUAGCGGUGAAAAUGCGUAGAGAUCUGAAGGAAUACCAGUGGCGAAGGCGGCCCCCUGGACAAAGACUGACGCUCAGAUGCGAAAGCGUGGGGAGCAAACAGGAUUAGAUACCCUGGUAG